rnacentral:rRNA from 1 species
GACGAACGCUGGCGGCGUGCCUAAUACAUGCAAGUCGAACGGUUUAGUUCCAAGAGGCUUGCCUUUUGGAACUAGACAGUGGCGGACGGGUGAGUAACACGUAGGCAACCUACCUGUCAAAUCGGGAUAACCUCUAGAAACCGAAGCUAAACCCGGAUAAGCUCCUUUUUCGCCUGAAGGUGGAGUGAAAAGGUGCUACCUGAUGACCGAUGGGCCUGCGGCGCCUUUGAUUGUAGUGAGGGUAACGGCCUACCUAGGAGAGGAUGCGUAGCCGACCGGGGAGAGCGUACGGCGACACUGGGACUGAGAUACGGCCAAGAGGACUACGGGAGGGAGCAGUAGGGAAUGUUAGGCAGUGGGCGAGAGCCUGACCGAGCAACGCCGAGUGAGAGAGGACGGCGUUCGGGGUGUAAAACUCUGUUGUUUGGGAAGAAGGGAAAGGGUAGGAGCUGUUGGUGACGGUACCAAACGAGAAAGCCCCGGCUAACUACGUG